rnacentral:lncRNA from 1 species
GAGCUACGACACAAUCAAACCCAAACGAACAAAAUGUUGAAUUGAAUCGUACCAGCCUCUACUGGGGGUUAUUACUCAUUUUUGUACUUGCUGUUUUAUUUUCCAAUUAUUUCUUCAAUUAAGAAAAGGAGAGAGAACUAAAAUAAUAGACUAAUCGUUCUAGGUAUUCUUUCUCUUACCCCAUUCGGAAGGAUCUCAUCUCAUAAUUAUCCAUGACUGUUUAUGUCUCUAGCAUGACCACUUGAUGAAAUGUGGAGGGAAGUGGGGUAAAUGGCCGAUACUACUGGAAGAAUUCCUCUUUGGAUAAUAGGUACUGUAGCUGGUAUUCUUGUGAUCGGUUUAGUAGGUGUUUUCUUUUAUGGUUCAUAUUCCGGAUUGGGUUCAUCCCUGUAGUAAUCGGAUGAAUUGAGUUGUAGACAUGAAAGCGUAAGAACUCAACGGAUUCCCUUCUUUGUUUGUCUGAUUUGAGGGAGAAGGUCCCGUUGAGUUCUUAAUAAUUAGAAUAUUUUUUUUUAUAAGUUCAUUGAAGAAGUUCUAUUUACUCAACAGAUUUUCCCCUCCUCUUUUGUUUGUCCACCACUUUUUAUUUAUAGUAUACGUAAUUAUUAUAAGAUAAGAAUAAAUAAAAUACGUAAUAACUAUAAAAAAACGUUCUGAUACGUCUGUAAAAAAUAGAAACUAACACUAGGAAUGUUUGACGAACAGUAUCAAGAAUCAUUAUUAUUUCGACACAAGAAAAGGAUUUUUCACACCCCUUUCUUGUGUCGAAGACUAGGAAGACGAAUAACCCCUCCCAGAAAUAUUUGUUCCCUUCAAUUAUCCGAUAAUUAAAUCAUCAUUAUCACUCUGAAACGUUUACAUGCUAGUUCUAAUACCGUCGUCAUACGCUUAAAAUCCUAAACACGCAAGGUUUCCAGAUCCGGUCUGCAACAAACCAUAGAUCCGAACAAAUAAUAUCAUAUAUGGCAACAUAUAACAUUUAGCACAUAAAAGCAUUUUAUGCAACUUUCCUAAAAUAAACUAGUGCUCGUGUCUAUAAUAUAACAGACACACAUCUCACAAUCUCCACUUAGCAUUCUAAGUUUAAGUCUAGAAAUCCUACAAAUUCCUAAUUCGCUUAAACAAAUGCUCUGAUACCAACUGUGACAUCCCCAAAAUCACGGCCAAAAAAGACCGAUUUCAUUUAUGCUUUUAAAAUAAUUUCAGAGUAAAUCCUUUUGAUUUAAAAGAGUUGCGGAAUUUGUUCCCAAAACAAAAUAUGAUAAAAUAAAGUUUAUCAAAGCAUUUCAUCAAGAGAUGCAUUUUCAUUAUAUAACAAUAUUCAAGAUGUCAUGUUCCGAUAAACAGACCAAAAGCAUAAACAACAAAAGAUAGACUAUACAACAGUUACAUAUAACAACUGGUCUAAUAUCACAAGAUCUUGAUAAGUCAUCCAACUUAUGCUCCCGCGCCACUACCUGUAAUACAAAAAAACUGCGUGGGUCAGGCUUGGGAGCCUGGUGAGCAUAUAGGGUUUUCAACCCACAAUAAAUAAUUAUAUUUAGUAUCACCAACCAAUAAUAACCCGAUUACCCAUUCCCGUUAUCCUCACUUUACGUGCCUAAAACAACAUCUAUCUCAAGGGACCUAGUCUAGGAAUUUAUCGGAAUGGACUUUACCGCGAGGGGUUUCCUCAACAAUAAAAGUCUUAAGGCAACCAUGAGGGGGGUAGAGUACACCAGUGAACAUAUCGUUCACAACACCUACAGGUUAUGAACCUGCUAGCGUUCCACAAGACUGUCUAGAAAGAGUCUGUGGUCGUUAUCCAUACUCCGCUGAAUAACUAGAUCAACAACAACAAAAUCGAUGCCUCUCAUCUGUUUAUCACACAUCAACUAUCUACCCAUGUUCUACCCAACAUAUUAGUAGAUAAAAAUAUAUAUUUUUAUAUAUAGUUUAAAACCUGUAUAUCAUUCUCAUUCAAUACAUAUUCCAAACAACAGAUGAGACACAUACACAUAACACGUAUUUCAUAGAGAAUAAAUCAUAUCUAUGAGAUAGAAGAAAGUGAAUAUACAUUCACACAUACAACAACAAAAUAUACUCAUAACAUGUAUUUUGUAUAAAAUACUUCAUAAUUAUGCGUUAGAAAAAAGUAACUACACACUCACCUGAUCAAAAGAUGAUCGGACAGUACUACGACUUGUAGAAGUAGUAUUCUUCGGUAGAUCUUGAAGAUAUUCACAAAAAUUGGCUUCUCGCGAGCAGAGCUUCGACUCGGGAAUUUCACUUCUCGGGAUCUUUGGGGCUUAGGGACUUGCUUUGGGGCUCGGGAUUGAUACUGGGGCUUCGGGAUAUUUAUUGCACGAAAAACAAUGCAAAAACGAGAGAGAAAGAAGAGAAAAGGAGAAAAGAACUCGGCAGCCUCGACGUCCUUUUAUAGAGGGCUGGAACCUUUGAUUACGCUAGGCGUAAUCCUAGGUACGUUGGGCGUAACCCGGAUAAGCCCAGGGACUCCCCCCUUUGGAUAAUAUCUGAAUUUAUAUUUAAAUUUAAUAUUUUAAUUAUUUAAUAAACUUCAAAAAUCCAUAUCUUUCUCAUACAAACUCCGUUUUCGACGUUCUUUAUAUCCACAUGUAGGUGAGACUACGCUCUACAACUUUCGUUUAGACUCUGUCGGCUAAUUUUGAAUUUAUUUUUAGUAUUUAUUUUUAGUAGGUCGGGACAGUAAAACUCCGCUAUAAAUUCAUAACCUCUUCAUCUGACGUCCGUUUUCGUCUGUCUUUUCACCAACGCACUACUAUCAACGAGAUCUUCGAUUCUCGUUUAGAUUGUUUCGACCAACAAUCACUUGAUCUCGAAUUCGAGUUUCGGGCUCAUACUGCUAAGCUGAAACUUAGAAAAAUCAUAACUUCCUCAUACGAAGUCAGAUUUGGGCAUUCUUUUUAUGCACGCUCUCGGUUUAAUGAACUCUACGACUUUCGUUUAGAUCGCUAAGGUUAAAUAUCGCUCCAUCUUAAAUUCACUUUUUACGUCAUUUAGCGUCAUGCCGGUUCUGUCGCGAAACUUCGACAGAUCAUAACUUCUUCGUUAUAAUUCGGAUUCCGGCAUUCUUUAUAUAUUCGGAAACCACAUUUCAACUACUACAACAUUAUCCAUAGAUAUCAGCUUUAUCUAACAUUUCAUUUUGACGCUUAUUUUCAUACUUAAUUCAAUUAAGUCACACAACUAAGCACAUAACACAUAAUACUCAAAUAAUACACUUCUAUUAUUUCAAAACUGGUUACAAAGGUUAACCUAGACUAUUAUAUCAUCGUUAAUGACAAGCCUAGAAACACAGACGUUACAGAUUACAUGGUAAAUCCAUAUAUGAUUAUCCAAUAUGUCUAUUCACAAAUGAUUAUUCAUACAUGAUUAUGGUGACGUAGUGAUGGAGGUGGCAGUGGUGGAGGGGAUGGAUGUGGUGGUGGUAGUAGUGACAAAAGCAAUAUGGCUUAUUAUGAAAUAUGAAAUGAUACAAAUGAAAAAGUGAAACAUAAAACCAAACUAAAUUAAGACAACUAAAACCUGCUAAGUUGGUCAUCCAAAGGUAUAGUAUUGGUCCAAUCAUAUUUAUGGCACAAUGUCUAGUACCGGUCCAGACAUAUUUAUAGCAUAAGACAAAAGAAAAAAAAAGAGGUCCUUUAAAUUAUAAAAACUUAUUGUCAAAUUACUAAAGAUCAUGUAGAAAAUAGCAACUGGAAAAGAAAAAUAAUACAAAUAUUUGAGGAUAUUAAGUUGUAACACAAUAAACUUCAUAAAAACAUAAGACAAUUAUAAGAAGUUCACAAAUAAACCAUAAAACAUAAAACAAUUAUUAAAAGUUCACAAAUCAUU